rnacentral:rRNA from 1 species
UACAGAGGGUGCAAGCGUUGUCCGGAUUUAUUGGGCGUAAAGAGCGUGUAGGCGGCCUGGUAGGUCAGCUGUGAAAACUCGAGGCUCAACCUCGAGACGCCGGUUGAAACCAUCAGGCUAGAGUCCGGAAGAGGAGAGUGGAAUUCCCGGUGUAGCGGUGAAAUGCGCAGAUAUCAGGAAGAACACCAACGGCGAAGGCAGCUCGCUGGGACGGUACUGACGCUGAGACGCGAAAGCGUGGGGAGCGAACAGG